rnacentral:rRNA from 1 species
GAUAAACGCUGGCGGCGUGCAUGAGACAUGCAAGUCGAACGAGUGUUUCCGGGCUUGCCUGGGAACGCUAGUGGCGAACGGCUGAGUAACGCGUGGGUGACCUGCCAUGAAGUGGGGAAUAACUGCCCGAAAGGGUGGCUAAUACCGCAUGUGGUGACACGUUCGUUCGUGUGACCAAAGCCGCAAGGCGCUUCGGGAGGGGCCCGCGUCCGAUUAGCUCGUUGGUGGGGUAACGGCUCACCAAGGCGACGAUCGGUAGGUGGUCUGAGAGGACGAUCACCCAGACUGGGACUGAGACACGGCCCAGACUCCUACGGGUGGCUG